rnacentral:rRNA from 1 species
GAUGAACGCUGGCGGCGUGCCUAAUACAUGCAAGUCGAGCGAACAGACGAGGAGCUUGCUCCUCUGACGUUAGCGGCGGACGGGUGAGUAACACGUGGAUAACCUACCUAUAAGACUGGGAUAACUUCGGGAAACCGGAGCUAAUACCGGAUAAUAUAUUGAACCGCAUGGUUCAAUAGUGAAAGACGGUUUUGCUGUCACUUAUAGAUGGAUCCGCGCCGCAUUAGCUAGUUGGUAAGGUAACGGCUUACCAAGGCAACGAUGCGUAGCCGACCUGAGAGGGUGAUCGGCCACACUGGAACUGAGACACGGUCCAGACUCCUACGGGAGGCAGCAGUAGGGAAUCUUCCGCAAUGGGCGAAAGCUUGACGGAGCAACGCCGCGUGAGUGAUGAAGGUCUUCGGAUCGUAAACUCUGUUAUUAGGGAAGAACAAAUGUGUAAGUAACUAUGCACGUCUUGACGGUACCUAAUCAGAAAGCCACGGCUAACUACGUG